rnacentral:rRNA from 1 species
UACAGAGGGGGCAAGCGUUGUUCGGAAUUACUGGGCGUAAAGGGCGCGUAGGCGGCCGCCUAAGUCAGACGUGAAAUCCCUCGGCUCAACCGGGGAACUGCGUCUGAUACUGGGUGGCUUGGAUUCGGGAGAGGAAUGCGGAAUUCCAGGUGUAGCGGUGAAAUGCGUAGAUAUCUGGAGGAACACCGGUGGCGAAGGCGGCAUUCUGGACCGAUAUUGACGCUGAGGAGCGAAAGCCAGGGGAGCAAACA